rnacentral:rRNA from 1 species
CCCUUAGAUGUUCUGGGCCGCACGCGUGUUACACUGAGUGGAUCAGCGGGUCAGGUUGCGCGAAAGUGUUUCCUAAUCUUUAAAUCCGCUCGUGAUGGGGAUUGACGGUUGCAAUUUUCCGUCAUGAACGAGGAAUACCUUGUAAGCGCGGGUCAUCAUCCCGCGCUGAAUACGUCCCUGCCCUUUGUACACACCGCCCGUCGCUCCUACCGAUUGAGUGGUCCGGUGAGGCUUUGGGAUCUGGGCGGAAAGAGCGUUUCGCUGUUUCUGCCCGGAAAACUCAGUCGAACCUUAUCAUUUAGAGGAAGGAGAAGUCGUAACA